GAUCCCUCCUCUGGGAGUUUUUCUGUGAGCCUACAACAUGGCUGAGCAUUUUUGUUUAUUUUUGGUUAUCUCUUUCCACUGUGAUAAUCCUUCUAGUUAUACAGUCUAUAGUUACGUGCCUAACCACACCACUUUGUAUAUUUCUUGCUUGUACAGUCUACCAUUUUAAUGAUUAGAUGGUCCUGAUGUGGUGGAGAGUGUCUGUGCUGGUUCUGCUGUUGAGAAAUACAGAUACUGAUGUCACCACUGGGGAGAGAAUGGGGCAAGGACAAGUUCAGCAGUCACCAGAUAAGGAAGACCACUCUUUUUCCAUCAGUUUGAAGAGAUUUGGCAGAGUUUUAAGUAACACCAUAAUUUUCCUGAAGAUGGAUUUGCUUGUACAACUUGCCAGCUAGAGCUUGUGCUGUCCACAAAAGUUCCUCCCUUUUAGACACAUUUGCAACACUUCCCAGACCAGUUUGUUCAUUCACCUUACAGCUUGAAACCCUUGUUUCAGGGCAGGCUUGUUUCUUCUACUGUAUUUUUACUGCCCCUUGAGUGACAUCAUUCAAAUGGGGCACGCUUGUUUUUGCCCAGAGUUGCUUCUUCAGUUCCAUCAAGUUACAUCUUGAGUAUCAGAGGUGGAGAGGAGUAAAUCUGGAUCAGUUCUGGAUUCUCAGCA
rnacentral:lncRNA from 1 species